rnacentral:rRNA from 1 species
UACGUAGGUGGCAAGCGUUGUCCGGAAUUAUUGGGCGUAAAGCGCGCGCAGGCGGUCCUUUAAGUCUGAUGUGAAAGCCCACGGCUCAACCGUGGAGGGUCAUUGGAAACUGGGGGACUUGAGUGCAGAAGAGGAAAGCGGAAUUCCACGUGUGGCGGUGAAAUGCGUAGAGAUGUGGAGGAACACCAGUGGCGAAGGCGGCUUUCUGGUCUGUAACUGACGCUGAGGCGCGAAAGCGUGGGGAGCAAACAGG